GCGCACGGGGAGGGGUUCGCGGCCUAUCAGCUUGUUGGCGGGGUAAUGGCCCACCAAGGCGACGACGGGUAGCUGGUCUGAGAGGAUGGCCAGCCACAUUGGGACUGAGAGACGGCCCAG
rnacentral:rRNA from 1 species